UACGAAGGGGGCUAGCGUUGCUCGGAAUCACUGGGCGUAAAGCGCACGUAGGCGGAUCUUUAAGUCAGGGGUGAAAUCCCAAGGCUCAACCUUGGAACUGCCUUUGAUACUGGGGAUCUCGAGUCCGGAAGAGGUGAGUGGAACUGCGAGUGUAGAGGUGAAAUGCGUAGAGAUCGGGAGGAACACCAGAGGCGAAGGCGGCGACCUGGACAAGUACUGACACUCAACUACGAAAGCGUGGGGAGCAAACAGG
rnacentral:rRNA from 1 species